ACGAACGCUGGCGGCAUGCCUAAUACAUGCAAGUCGAGCGAAUGAUGAAGAAGCUUGCUCUUCUGAUUAGCGGCGGACGGGUGAGUAACACGUGGGCAACCUACCCUAUAGAUUGGGAUAACACAGGGAAACCUGUGCUAAUACCGAAUAAUACAUUUCCUUUCAUGAGAAGAUGUUGAAAGAUGGUUUCGGCUAUCACUAUAGGAUGGGCCCGCGGCGCAUUAGCUAGUUGGUGAGGUAAUGGCUCACCAAGGCAACGAUGCGUAGCCGACCUGAGAGGGUGAUCGGCCACACUGGGACUGAGACACGGCCCAGACUCCUACGGGAGGCAGCAGUAGGGAAUCUUCCACAAUGGGCGAAAGCCUGAUGGAGCAAUGCCGCCGUGAGUGAUGAAGGAUUUCGGUUCGUAAAACUCUGUUGUAAGGGAAGAACAAGUAGCGUAGUAACUGGCGUUACCUUGACGGUACCUUAUUAGAAAGCCACGGCUAACUACGUGCCAGCCGCUGC
rnacentral:rRNA from 1 species